CUUUACUGUAGCCUGGUAUUGGGUUCGGGCUUUGACUGCGCAGGAUAGGUGGGAGACUAUGAAGCAAUCCUUGUGGGGGUUGCUGAGUCAACGGUGAGAUACCACUCUGUCAGAGCUAGAAUUCUAACUAAAUGCCGUUAUCCGGCUUUGGACCGUAUCAGGUGGGCAGUUUGACUGGGGCGGUCGCCUCCUAAAAGGUAACGGAGGCGCGCAAAGGUUCUCUCAGGCUGGUUGGAAAUCAGCCGUAGAGUGUAAAGGCAGAAGAGAGCUUGACUGCAAGAGCUACAACUCGAGCAGGGUGGAAACACGGCCUUAGUGAUCCGACGGCGCUGAGUGGAAGGGCCGUCGCUCAACGGAUAAAAGUUA
rnacentral:rRNA from 1 species